CUGAGCUAUGCAGGACUGCACGUGGAGCUCCCGGAAAUACGCACAUGGGGACUAUCGGGUUGGAAGAAGAGAUUAUUCAGGUCGGAAUGGCAUCCGCUGCUGGAGAGAGGGAGGCACACACCACCCUGCCCUGCGCUGACGAAGAGCUACCUGGGCCUCGAGGCCAUCAGUCUGUUGCUGAGCUGGAAAACCUGGCUGGAGAGGCUUGGGACAUCUGCCAGAUGCCCGCAGAGCUGGGAGGAGUUGGCAUUGGGCAGCAUCCAGCCCCAGAAAGGGAUGGACUGAGCCAGGCAGAUUCAGAACGGAGGCUCCGCCAGGCGCCACACCUGGAGUACAGAUGGCCGUGCUGAGCAAUGGUUCCCGGUUUCUCUCUCCCCAUCACCACCACCAAGCCACCUACUGGAAAUUAAUCCAGUGAAUAAUGAUGCAUUGAGAUCACUAAAAUUGUGCCCUGUAAAUGAAACUGCACACUGUUCACUUUCCUCACCCCCCCCCUUCUCCUCUGGCUCCACUUCCUGCCUUCCAAGUGGGACUUUCUGAGCGGAACUGAGCCCAAGCUUCAGGAACUCCCCUGGAAGCUGCAGAGAAGCCGUUGGCCAGUCACUUGGCCACCAGGAAGGCUUGGGAAGUGUCCUGCAGCACUCCGAGGGCCUUCACGGAGGUCUCUCAGCUGCCUGUGCUCAUCAGCUCCUGCCCAGGCCCACACAGAAGGGCUCUGAUGGGCCGUCCUGGG
rnacentral:lncRNA from 1 species